rnacentral:rRNA from 1 species
UGGGGAAUAUUGGACAAUGGGCGCAAGCCUGAUCCAGCCAUGCCGCGUGAGUGAUGAAGGCCCUAGGGUUGUAAAGCUCUUUCACCGGUGAAGAUAAUGACGGUAACCGGAGAAGAAGCCCCGGCUAACUUCGUGCCAGCAGCCGCGGUAAUACGAAGGGGGCUAGCGUUGUUCGGAUUUACUGGGCGUAAAGCGCACGUAGGCGGACUUUUAAGUCAGGGGUGAAAUCCCGGGGCUCAACCCCGGAACUGCCUUUGAUACUGGAAGUCUUGAGUAUGGUAGAGGUGAGUGGAAUUCCGGGUGGAGAGGUGAAAUUCGUAGAUAUUCGGAGGAACACCAGUGGCGAAGGCGGCUCACUGGACCAUUACUGGCGCUGAGGUGCGAAAGCGUGGGGAGCAAACAGG